GCUUACUGAUUUUGCCACGGGAAGGUUGCUUUAAACAAACUUUUACAUUUGUCAUUUGUACCCCUUUUUUUCCUUCGCUUUCUGCUUUUGCCACCGGAUAUUUUUUUUAGUCUUCACCGUCUUAAAGAACCGCCUUACAGAACCGCCUUAAAGUAAUUGUAGAUAGACGUUGGCUUCUCGGUAUAUGUUGCCUUCUAAUUUCAGUUUCCACCUCGCGCUUUUGGAUUUCUGUUUCUCCCUAUCUUGCGAUUGUGUUCCUUUCUUGCGGUUUUGAUUGUUUUGUUUGACGUUUUCUGGUCUUCAUCAUUCACUUGUAAUUCCUUUGAUGGGUUCUGAUUUUGAUUGUUCUGUACAAAGAUUUGAGGCGAUGAUGAGCUUUGUUUGUGAAAAAAAAUUGCAACGUCGACCAUGGGUGAAGUUGAAGGCCGUAUUUUGGCAAGGUAACUCGGAAGGCAUAUCCGAUUGGAAUAUGCAACCGGUGUUUGCAGCCAUACCGCCUUUCAUUCCCUUUUUUUGAGCUUCCUCUCACUAAAAAUCACUGUCGUAUUUUUUAUUUGGGCUUUCAGCUAAAGCUGAAAUCUGUUUUUAUGAUUUUCGAUUUUGAAAAUUCUGGUGGUUUCUUUGGUUACAACAUAUGAAACAGAUUUGAAUAUGCACAUCAACUGUUUGAUGAAAUGCUUCAAAGAACCGGUAAGGUUACGCACGCUGAGAUUCUAACCAAUGCGUUUGUCAAGUAUGGUGAGAUCGAAGAUUGUAAGGUGGUGUGAAGUAUGGAGGAAACCAUUUACCUAAUGUGCUCUCUUUUAUGAUAAUCUCUUUGAAUAAGGCAAUUCUUUUAUGAUAAUCUCUUUUAUGCUAUUAUUUCCUUUUAGGGUUUGAUUGGAUGGAUGGAAUGAAAUGUGUUAUUACAUUCCAUAAUCAUGUUUUGUUGGCCAGUAGGAAGCUAAUGAAUUUUCAUUUAAACUUUUUUAUAGUAUAUGUAAAUGUGUACAAAAAUACAAAAUUAACCAUACUAAAAGUUUAUUAAAAUUUAAAACUCAGAUCAGAUUAUAAUAUAAAAUAGUGUUAAUUGCGUAAAAUACAACAUUUUGACCUUUUUUGGGGUAAGACCUAAAAUUUUAAUUUACAAUCUAAACCAAAAUCGUGACCUAACUUUCCGUUUUUGCCUUUUUACGUAAAAGAUUUUGUCUCUUUGAAAAAGUGGUCAACAUAUUAUUUCUUUUAUGCAAAUAAGUAUAAAAUAUUUUUUGCAUAAAAGACACAACAUUUUGAUAACUUAAAAAAAUGUUCGUGUUUUCCAUUCAAUCAACCGCUAAAUAAAUAUAGUUAAUUUCUAGAAAAAAAUGAGUUACUAAAAUCAUGAAAGGUCAAAAAAAAAUUAUGUCAUUAAAUAUUACUUAAAUAUAAAUGGGUUAUUUUCUAACCGGAAUCAACCAUUCCAUUCCAUUGCUUCCCCAAUUCCAUGAUACAAAACAUUACCAGUUUCUUUCCCAAAUUACCCUUUGGUUUUCUCUUACAAUCCAAUAAAUGUAGCCUUUUUUUUUCUACGUAAGUUAUUGGGCUCCAAUUCAUCUGUAUAUUGAUGUUUGUUGUUUUGCAUUAAUGUGUUUCCGUGUGGUUGUUUCAUUGAUACUCUUAUAAACUUGAAUGAUGAAGUUUUUACUAUUUAUUGAGGAUGCAUGUAGUCUUACAUGCAUUAAAGUUUCCUAAUUGUACAAGUUUUCUAUUGAUUGUAAAAAAGAAAUCAUGAACCCCAUUUUUUCUUCGUUUUGGUUUUAGUCAUCAGGUUUCCUUUUAGGUGACAUUUCCCCAAACCCAUUAGUUACUUGCUGUUUCUGUGGUUAGAAUUUAUAUUUGUUAUCUUACUGUCUUAUUCUAAUCUUCCAAUAGCUUGUUAGACUUUCUUUAUUUAUGUAUAAGUUAUUUGACUCCAAUUCAAAUGUAUUUUGCAGUAAAUGCCUUUUUUGUAAUUUAAUUGUUGAUUUUGUGCUUUGGUUUUGAUUGGUUCAUGUCUUUGUGCUUUGGAGCGAUUAUUUAAAAAGUUUCUUAUCAUACUAAUUUUCUGUAGUUUACAUAACAAAUGUUGAACCAUUUUGUCAUUUUGAUGCUUUAGUUGCUGAUUAUUUACUUUCAAUUGUUUUAGACCGAUUGUUUUAUAAAUUUGAUAAAAUUGGAUUCUUUACUAUUUUUGAUGACACAUUGUGUAAUCUUACAUACAUAAAGAAUUCCUAACUAUACAACAAACAAUGAACCAUUUUGCUCCUUUUUGGUUUGACUUAUCAGGUUUUGCUUUUUUUUAAGGGACUUUAGGUAAACCAUUAAUCAGCUUAUCAAAGUUUCAUUUUACAUUUUUAUAUUAGGCGAUGUUGAGAAUUCUGUUGAUGUUUAGAAUAAGUAAAAUUUUGAGUUAAUAUUUAUUGACAUAUAUUUUUGUUCAACAAUUGACAAUAUUAAUGAACAAUUUCCAUUUUUAGCUAUUAUUAUGUGCGAUAUGUUUCACAUUUUUAAGCAGACCUUCUUUUCAUUAUAAAAGUAGCCACCUUUUAACCGACUGAAUCCGUAUUCAUUAUUUCAUUAUUUUUUAAAUUAAUUAAUAAGUUUGUCACUUUCAAUUGAAUGUAGUGCAGACUGUUCAAAAAUUGAUCAACUAGACAAAAAUUGACCCCACCCCAUUUGUCAAUCCUUUUUUUUUUUUAAUCUUAUAUGAAGUCAUUUGUUGUUUUUCUUUCUUGCAAACAUUUAAUUAUGUUGAUUAUGAGCAUGCUCGAUUUUUCUUUCAACAACUUAUAUUUGGUGUCAGCAACUGUCACUUUAUGAUUAUUGAAACUUUAAAAAUGUUAGUAAAUAGUAACAAACUUUUAUAUUUGUUCAAAUACAUAUCAUAAACUUACUUAAUUCAAUUUUGUUUCACUGUUAUGAAAUUUUGUAUUUUUGUUUGUUGAUUGUGGAAAGUUUAUGGAAAACAAAAAUUGUUAAAAUAGUAACCAAGUUUCAGUUUUGUUAUGAUAUUACAAAAAUGAUGAAAAAAAAAAAGUUUGAGGUACUGAGUUGAACAAAUUUUAAAUUUGGUUACUUUUUAAUGAAAAUAGUUUUGCUUUUUUUUUUUUAUAUUAUUAUUAUUAUUAUUAUUAUUUGGGUAGACUCUAAUGAUUUGAAUUUAUUUUAUCAUCAGUCAAGCAAGUUUGUGUACUCUAUGACAUUCAAGCAGUGGAAAAACAUUGAUGUGAACAAAUUUCAUAAAACUGAUGAUAGAUUUGGAUGAAAGUUGGUAUCUAUAUUAGUCCAAAUUGCAUCCCACAUCAGGUAGGAGAGAAUUGGUUCAAAUAACCAAAAAAAAAAAGAAACCCAGCGCCAAAGGCGCAUCUGAUUCCAUCUAGUUAUAUUAUUAUAGUGUAAUAUGUACAAAAAUAUUUACCAAAUGAUUGUGUAGCUUUUAACUUAUCAUUCCUACGUUUUUGCUAUUUAUCUUUGGAUGCAAAAUCAUUUGUUGUUAUCAUCUUAUCGUCUU